rnacentral:rRNA from 1 species
ACCAGACUCCUACGGGAGGCAGCAGUGGGGGAUAUUGCACAAUGGGGGGAACCCUGAUGCAGCGACGCCGCGUGGGUGAAGAAGCGCCUCGGCGCGUAAAGCCCUGUCAGCAGGGAAGAAAAUGACGGUACCUGAAGAAGAAGCCCCGGCUAACUACGUGCCAGCAGCCGCGGUAAUACGUAGGGGGCAAGCGUUAUCCGGAUUUACUGGGUGUAAAGGGGGCGCAGACGGCGAUGCAAGCCAGGAGUGAAAGCCCGGGGCCCAACCCCGGGACUGCUCUUGGAACUGCGUGGCUGGAGUGCAGUAGGGGCAGGCGGAAUUCCUGGUGUAGCGGUGAAAUGCGUAGAUAUCAGGAGGAACACCGGUGGCGAAGGCGGCCUGCUGGACUGCAACUGACGUUGAGGCCCGAAAGCGUGGGGAGCAAACAGGAUUAGAUACCCGGGUAAC